rnacentral:rRNA from 1 species
UACGUAGGGUGCGAGCGUUGUCCGGAAUUACUGGGCGUAAAGAGCUCGUAGGUGGUUUGUCGCGUUGUUCGUGAAAACCUGAGGCUUAACCUUGGGCGUGCGGGCGAUACGGGCAGGCUAGAGUUCGGUAGGGGAGACUGGAAUUCCUGGUGUAGCGGUGAAAUGCGCAGAUAUCAGGAGGAACACCGGUGGCGAAGGCGGGUCGCUGGGACGUUACUGACGCUGAGACGCGAAAGCGUGGGGAGCAAACAGG